rnacentral:rRNA from 1 species
AACGAACGCUGGCGGCAGGCUUAACACAUGCAAGUCGAACGGGCACUUUCGGGUGUCAGUGGCAGACGGGUGAGUAACACGUGGGAACGUACCUUUCGGUUCGGGAUAACCCAGGGAAACUUGGGCUAAUACCGGAUACGUCCUUUGGGAGAAAGAUUUAUUGCCGAAAGAUCGGCCCGCGGCCGAUUAGGUAGUUGGUGGGGUAAUGGCCUACCAAGCCGACGAUCGGUAGCUGGUCUGAGAGGAUGAUCAGCCACACUGGGACUGAGACACGGCCCAGACUCCUACGGGAGGCAGCAGUGGGGAAUAUUGGACAAUGGGCGCAAGCCUGAUCCAGCAAUGCCGCGUGAGUGAUG